rnacentral:rRNA from 1 species
AGAGUUUGAUCAUGGCUCAGAUUGAACGCUGGCGGCAGGCCUAACACAUGCAAGUCGAACGGUAACAGGAAGAAGCUUGCUUCUUUGCUGACGAGUGGCGGACGGGUGAGUAAUGUCUGGGAAACUGCCUGAUGGAGGGGGAUAACUACUGGAAACGGUAGCUAAUACCGCAUAACGUCGCAAGACCAAAGAGGGGGACCUUCGGGCCUCUUGCCAUCGGAUGUGCCCAGAUGGGAUUAGCUAGUAGGUGGGGUAACGGCUCACCUAGGCGACGAUCCCUAGCUGGUCUGAGAGGAUGACCAGCCACACUGGAACUGAGACACGGUCCAGACUCCUACGGGAGGCAGCAGUGGGGAAUAUUGCACAAUGGGCGCAAGCCUGAUGCAGCCAUGCCGCGUGUAUGAAGAAGGCCUUCGGGUUGUAAAGUACUUUCAGCGGGGAGGAAGGGAGUAAAGUUAAUACCUUUGCUCAUUGACGUUACCCGCAGAAGAAGCACCGGCUAACUCCGUGCCAGCAGCCGCGGUAAUACGGAGGGUGCAAGCGUUAAUCGGAAUUACUGGGCGUAAAGCGCACGCAGGCGGUUUGUUAAGUCAGAUGUGAAAUCCCCGGGCUCAACCUGGGAACUGCAUCUGAUACUGGCAAGCUUGAGUCUCGUAGAGGGGGGUAGAAUUCCAGGUGUAGCGGUGAAAUGCGUAGAGAUCUGGAGGAAUACCGGUGGCGAAGGCGGCCCCCUGGACGAAGACUGACGCUCAGGUGCGAAAGCGUGGGGAGCAAACAGGGUUAGAUACCCUGGUAGUCCACGCCGUAAACGAUGUCGACUUGGAGGUUGUGCCCUUGAGGCGUGGCUUCCGGAGCUAACGCGUUAAGUCGACCGCCUGGGGAGUACGGCCGCAAGGUUAAAACUCAAAUGAAUUGACGGGGGCCCGCACAAGCGGUGGAGCAUGUGGUUUAAUUCGAUGCAACGCGAAGAACCUUACCUGGUCUUGACAUCCACGGAAGUUUUCAGAGAUGAGAAUGUGCCUUCGGGAACCGUGAGACAGGUGCUGCAUGGCUGUCGUCAGCUCGUGUUGUGAAAUGUUGGGUUAAGUCCCGCAACGAGCGCAACCCUUAUCCUUUGUUGCCAGCGGUCCGGCCGGGAACUCAAAGGAGACUGCCAGUGAUAAACUGGAGGAAGGUGGGGAUGACGUCAAGUCAUCAUGGCCCUUACGACCCGGGCUACACACGUGCUACAAUGGCGCAUACAAAGAGAAGCGACCUCGCGAGAGCAAGCGGACCUCAUAAAGUGCGUCGUAGUCCGGAUUGGAGUCUGCAACUCGACUCCAUGAAGUCGGAAUCGCUAGUAAUCGUGGAUCAGAAUGCCACGGUGAAUACGUUCCCGGGCCUUGUACACACCGCCCGUCACACCAUGGGAGUGGGUUGCAAAAGAAGUAGGUAGCUUAACCUUCGGGAGGGCGCUUACCACUUUGUGAUUCAUGACUGGGGUGAAGUCGAAACAAGGUA